AACGAACGCUGGCGGCAUGCCUAACACAUGCAAGUCGAACGAGACCUUCGGGUCUAGUGGCGCACGGGUGCGUAACACGUGGGAAUUUGCCUCGGGGUAUGGAAUAACUCAGGGAAACUUGAGCUAAUACCAUAUAAUGUCUUCGGACCAAAGAUUUAUCGCCCUGAGAUAAGCCCGCGUAGGAUUAGCUAGUUGUGGGUAAAGGCUCACCAAGGCGACGAUCCUUAGCUGGUCUGAGAGGAUGAUCAGCCACACUGGGACUGAGACACGGCCCCAGACUCCUACGGGAGGCAGCAGUGGGGAAUAUUGGGACAAUGGGCGAAAGCCUGAUCCAGCAAUGCCGCGUGAGUGAUGAAGGCU
rnacentral:rRNA from 1 species